UGCCCAGCAACUCCUAUCCCUACCUCUUCACGGUACCGGCCUUAGGGAAGAUCGGGUAACCAACCCCGGUGGGAACUUCGGUCGUAGGCUGACCGGGAAGG
rnacentral:ribozyme from 1 species